rnacentral:ncRNA from 1 species
CGACCUCAGAGCAGGCGAGAUCACCCGCUGAAUUUAAGCAUAUUAUUAAGCGGAGGAAAAGAAUCUAACCAGGAUUUCUUUAGUAGCGGCGAGCGAACAGGGAAUAGCCCAGCACCGAAUCCCGCGGUUCCGCCGCAGGGAAAUGUGGGGUUUGGAAGCA